rnacentral:rRNA from 1 species
UUGGGUCACCUCCCACCCGUGUUUAUUUACCUCGUUGCUUCGGCGGGCCCGCCUUAACUGGCCGCCGGGGGGCUCACGCCCCCGGGCCCGCGCCCGCCGAAGACACCCCCGAACUCUGCCUGAAGAUUGUCGUCUGAGUGAAAAUAUAAAUUAUUUAAAACUUUCAACAACGGAUCUCUUGGUUCCGGCAUCGAUGAAGAACGCAGCGAAAUGCGAUACGUAAUGUGAAUUGCAAAUUCAGUGAAUCAUCGAGUCUUUGAACGCACAUUGCGCCCCCUGGUAUUCCGGGGGGCAUGCCUGUCCGAGCGUCAUUGCUGCCCUCAAGCCCGGCUUGUGUGUUGGGCCCCGUCCUCCGAUUCCGGGGGACGGGCCCGAAAGGCAGCGGCGGCACCGCGUCCGGUCCUCGAGCGUAUGGGGCUUUGUCACCCGCUCUGUAGGCCCGGCCGGCGCUUGCCGAUCAACCCAAAUUUUUAUCCAGGUUGACCUCGGAUCAGGUAGGGAUACCCGCUGAACUUAAGCAUAUCA